rnacentral:RNase_P_RNA from 2 species
CAAGUAGGAUAAAUGAUCGCGGCUGUCUCCGCAAGGAUAGUACGCAGCCCUAUGGCUUGCGUAUGAUUGACAGGUGAGGAAAGUCCGGGCUUCACAGGGCAGGAUGCCGGAUAACAUCCGGUGGAGGCGACUCCAAGGCCAGUGCAACAGAAAUAUACCGCCAAGAGCUUAUGGCAGACCAAAACUUGUGAGUUUCGGUGAAAAGCCGGACUCUUGGUAAGGGUGGAAAGGCAGUGUAAGAGACUACCGCCUGUGCGGUAACGUACAGGGCACAUGUAAACCCCAUCCGAAGCAAGACCAAACAGAAAGCGUUAUCAGCCGGCCCGGCAAGCUUUCAGGUAGGUCGCUUGAGACUGUUGGCAACAACAGUUCUAGAUAGAUGAUCAUUCACGACAUAACCCGGCUUAUCGUCCUGCUUGGUUU